CCUACGGGAGGCAGCAGUGAGGAAUAUUGGUCAAUGGACGCAAGUCUGAACCAGCCAUGCCGCGUGCAGGAAGACGGCUCUAUGAGUUGUAAACUGCUUUUGUACGGGGGUAAACGCAGAUACGCGUAUCUGUCUGAAAGUAUCGUACGAAUAAGGAUCGGCUAACUCCGUGCCAGCAGCCGCGGUAAUACGGAGGAUUCAAGCGUUAUCCGGAUUUAUUGGGUUUAAAGGGUGCGUAGGCGGUCGGAUAAGUUAGAGGUGAAAUCCCGAGGCUCAACUUCGGAAUUGCCUCUGAUACUGUUCGGCUAGAGAGUAGUUGCGGUAGGCGGAAUGUAUGGUGUAGCGGUGAAAUGCUUAGAGAUCAUACAGAACACCGAUUGCGAAGGCAGCUUACCAAGGUACUUCUGACGUUGAGGCACGAAAGCGUGGGGAGCGAACAGGAUUAGAUACCCGAGUAGUC
rnacentral:rRNA from 1 species